AUUUYUCUUAGACRAGACCCCUWCCAACCAACACAGUACCUCUAACUCUCCGUAAACUAUCCGCCCUUUUUUYUCUUAUUGCAUGUACUCCCCGGGCACCAARGGUUCUAUGUUUGGGUUUUGGGGGGAGUAUAUCGCAAGGCUGAAACUAAAGGAAUGACGAAGCACACAKCUGAAUUCCAAUA
rnacentral:rRNA from 1 species